rnacentral:rRNA from 1 species
ACGGGAGGCAGCAGUUAAGAAUAUUCCGCAAUGGACGAAAGUCUGACGGAGCGACGCCGCGUGGAUGAUGAAGGUCGGAAGAUUGUAAAAUCCUUUUAUAUAUGAGGAAUAAGCAGUAUGAGAGAAACGUACUGUGGUGACUGUAGUAUAUGAAUAAGCAACGGCUAAUUGCGUGCCAGCAGCCGCGGUAACACGUAAGGUGCGAGCGUUGUUCGGAAUUAUUGGGCGUAAAGGGCAGGUAGGCGGUUUUGCAAUGUUGGGGUGAAAGGCAGGAGCUUAACUCCUGGACUGCGCUGAGAACUGCAUGACUAGAGUCACUGAGGGGCAAUCAGAAUUCCUGGUGUAGGGGUGAAAUCUGUAGAUAUCAGGAAGAAUACCAAUGGCGAAGGCAGGUUACCAGCAGAUGACUGACGCUGAGGCGCGAAGGUGCGGGGAGCAAACAGGAUUAGAUACCCUGGUA